rnacentral:rRNA from 1 species
UACGUAGGGCGCAAGCGUUGUCCGGAAUUAUUGGGCGUAAAGAGCUCGUAGGCGGUUUGUUACGUCCGCUGUGAAAACCCAGGGCUUAACCCUGGGCUUGCAGUGGAUACGGGCAGACUAGAGGUAGGUAGGGGAGAAUGGAAUUCCCGGUGUAGCGGUGAAAUGCGCAGAUAUCGGGAGGAACACCGGUGGCGAAGGCGGUUCUCUGGGCCUUACCUGACGCUGAGGAGCGAAAGCGUGGGGAGCGAACAGG